UACAGAGGGUGCAAGCGUUGCUCGGAAUUACUGGGCGUAAAGCGUACGCAGACGGUAAGAAAGGUCGGAUGUGAAAGCCCCGGGCUCAACCCUGGAACUGCAUCCGAAACCAUCUUGCUAGAGUAUGGGAGAGGGAAGCGGAAUUCCUGGUGUAGAGGUGAAAUUCGUAGAUAUCAGGAGGAACACCGGUGGUGUAGACGGCUUUCUGGACCGUAACUGACGCUGAGACACGAAAGCGUGGGUAGCAAACAGG
rnacentral:rRNA from 1 species